rnacentral:tRNA from 1 species
UGCGGCUGUGGCGGAACUGGUAGACGCGCCAGAUUUAGGUUCUGGUAUCGAGAGAUGUGGGGGUUCGAGUCCCUUCAGCCGCACCAU